UACGGAGGGAGCAAGCGUUACUCGGAGUUAUUGGGCGUAAAGGGCGCGUAGGCGAUUUGAAAAGUCUUGUGUGAAAGCCCCGAGCUUAACUCGGGAAGUGCACAAGAAACUGUUGAAUUUGAGUUCCGGAGAGGAAGGCAGAAUUCCCGGUGUAGCGGUGAAAUGCGUAGAUAUCGGGAGGAAUACCAGUGGCGAAGGCGGCCUUCUGGACGGAUACUGACGCUGAGGCGCGAAAGCCAGGGGAGCAAACGGG
rnacentral:rRNA from 1 species